GUGAAAAAUCUACAUGUGGUUCAACCUUUAUUAUUUAUGGACCGAGUGAAUAAGCGAUUCUACGUUAAAUAAUUUUAUACAAUUUUUAGAUACAAGAGGAUGCAGGUCGACCUCCACUCGAAACUGACCAGCCAGAGCUUUUGAAGGCAAUAUCUGAUAUUGCAAUGCAAGGUGGGGCUGCUGAUGAUCGUCGACGCUCCGAAUUAAUUCGAACACGUAAAACUUUACGUAGCUUACACACGGAACUACAAGCGCAAGGAUUUCAAAUAUCUGAAUCGGCUACAUAUCUUCGACUUCAACCUAAAAAUUCACAUACUUCUGAAGGCAAACGAGAUGUCAGAACUGUGCCUAUAAAACUCUGUUGUGCACAAGCUGAUGCAAGGAAAGAGCACGUAGAAGGCAAAUUCUGUACUGCAUCAAUUCGAUCAUUAGAGCAAGUAAUUGUUACUCUUGGAUCUAAUCAAGUUGCAGUGAGAUCGCAAGAUGAUAAAGUCGAGUACCAAUUGGUAUUGCUGCUGCUAAGAAACAGGCUCCGCUGCUCAUGUUCCUCGAGUAUAAAGUCAGGUUGCCUGAUCAUGAUUGGGUGGUGGCACCAGGAUACAAGUUUAUUCCAAGCGCUUACGCUGGUAUACGCAUUAAUGUUGGAAAAAUUGGUGAUCCUAAAACGGUCUCAUACUCCGGACCGACUUUUGUAGCGAUACGUAGUGCCAAGCACUCGUCCAGCACUGCAACGUCUCACGCAUUUGAUUUUUAGACACUUUUAGAAUUAGAAUUCUUUCGACAUAUUCUUUACGUAAAAAAUGAAGAUCAAGUAAAACCAGUAGUUGUUAUAAUGUCAGAUGGUGGACCCGACGAGAAUCGUCGCUAUCGUUAAGUGAUUAAUCAUGCAGUUAAUCACUUCAAAGAAUAUAACUUGGACGCCUUAUUUAUAAUCACAAACGCAUGAGGACGGAGUGCUUACAAUCAUGUGGAGCGACGCGCAUGGCUCCCUUGACUCGUGAAAUGAUAGGCUUGAUACUACCGCAUGAUCAUUAUGAUUCCCACCUUAAUCAAUCUGCUGUUACGAUAAAGAGCUCGAACUGAAAAAUUUAGCUUUUUCUGCUGAAACACUCGGUGAGGUACUGAGUCAAGUCAUCAUCGAUGGGUAUCAAGUUGAUGCCAAGUACGUCAUUCCAGAAGACUUUGCCGAAAAACCAAAGUCGGUAUCACAAGAAUGAUUGUGAAGUGCAAUGACGGAAAUUCUUAUGGAGAUUGGAGAAGUAACAUAAAAGAUAUUCUUCCAUUGAGUGAUGGGUUUUUACCACCUCCGUUCCCAUUGCGUUGUCCAGACGAUGGUUUGCUCACCAUUCCAACUCCACAAAAUAUUCAUGCUGAUAAGAGUUUUUGUGAUUUAUUUUUGAGCGGAUUUGUGGGUUUUAAACCAACAACAGAUAAUGGAAUGCCUGUUCUUAUAUGAUUUUUAUUGUCCAUCAAUCCGAAAAGAAAUUAUUGGAAGAAUCUGUCAGUAUUGUGGUUUAUACUAUGGGUCUAAAAACAAAAAUGUUUACAUGUCAAAGAAAUUCAUCAUCAGGCAAUCGAUGAAAGACAAAGAGUAAACAAAGUAUUAACAAGAAGAGGAGGUGAACUACUACGUGAACUUGAUGCGCUAGAGCCAAUACUUGAGUGGUUUGAAGAAGGAAAUAUCAGCAGAGAAAAUUUAAAUAGUUUAACUGAAAGUAUUAAUCAAGAAGUUGAAUUCACAUUGCCUGUUAUCCAAAAUCUGCAUGACUGGCUAG